rnacentral:rRNA from 1 species
CCUACGGGAGGCAGCAGUGAGGAAUAUUGGUCAAUGGACGGAAGUCUGAACCAGCCAUGCCGCGUGCAGGAAGACGGCCCUAUGGUUUGUAAACUUCUUUUGUAUGGGAGUAAGCUUUUCCACGUGUGUUCUUCUGUAUGUACCUUACGAAUAAGGAUCGGCUAACUCCGUGCCAGCAGCCGCGGUAAUACGGAGGAUCCGAGCGUUAUCCGGAUUUAUUGGGUUUAAAGGGAGCGUAGGUGGAUUGUUAAGUUAGUUGUGAAAUGUCCGGGCUCAACCGUGGAACUGCAGUUGAUACUGGUAGGCUUGAGUGUAGUAGAGGUGGGCGGAAUUCGUGGUGUAGCGGUGAAAUGCUUAGAGAUCACGAAGAACACCGAUUGCGAAGGCAGCUCACUGGACUAAAACUGACGCUGAGGCGCGAAAGCGUGGGGAGCAAACAGGAUUAGAUACCCGUGUAGUC